UACGAAGGGGGCUAGCGUUGCUCGGAAUCACUGGGCGUAAAGCGCACGUAGGCGGAUUGUUAAGUCGGGGGUGAAAUCCUGGAGCUCAACUCCAGAACUGCCUUCGAUACUGGCGAUCUUGAGUCCGGGAGAGGUGAGUGGAACUCCGAGUGUAGAGGUGAAAUUCGUAGAUAUUCGGAAGAACACCAGUGGCGAAGGCGGCUCACUGGCCCGGUACUGACGCUGAGGUGCGAAAUCGUGGGGAGCAAACAGG
rnacentral:rRNA from 1 species